UGUUUAUAAAUCUCUUUUCCCUUCCUCCAGUAUAGUUAUAGUAUUCAUUUAAAUGCAAUUAGGAUCUUUCUUUUUCAUUUGUUUUUAGUUUUCGGUCUUCCCUCCCAUCCUUGUUAAUUUUUUGAAUAUGUAGGACAUUAACAUGCUUACACAAGUAAAAACUAUACAAAAAGGUUAACUUGGAGAAGUAUCACUCCUUCCUUUAUUGUAUUCCUUUUACCUCAAUCUCUCCUAUGUUCUAUAAGUCACCAACUUCACUGUUUUUAGUUUGUUCUUCUUACGUUUCUAUUUGUAAAGGUAAAGCAGAUAUAUGUAUGCUCUCCUAUCUCUCUUCUUUUUUUUUUUUUUACAGAAAGUAACAUACUAUAUGUACAUUUCAGAGCAUCUUAUGUCUUGAUAAGCAGGUGGUGGAUGAAGAAGAAUAAAAAAACAGAGGAUCAGAGGAUAAGUUUGAGACUUCGACCAACAGUUGAGCAGAGUUAAGUGGCCUAUGGACAAAGAAGUAAUUAAAUCAGCAGUUUCAGCCGAGCAUCAUUCUCAUCAGAUAGGAGCAGCGCACACUGGGAAACUGUGUCCUGGGCUAGCCAGGAAGAUCCACAGCUAAGGGACUGGUUGGAGCAGGUACAGCAGAGAUAUGUUCCCCAUCCAUGUUUGUACUGGACCAGCAGCUGUUUGCCAAGGGGAGAAGACCAGAAGGAAAAAAAAAAAAAGGCAGGUGACCUCCUGUUAACCUCACCCGUCUGCAAGAGGCUGCUGCCCUCACCUCUGAAUGAACUUUCAGAUUAUCUCAGACAAGAUUCACCUUGCGCUGAACUUGUACACCCGCUCCGAAG